ensembl:lncRNA
GCUACACUUGAUACUUCCAAGGCUGAUUUCCUCCAAGCUCCCCUUUCUUCACCUCCUUUGCCCUAGGCUUUCAUAAAGCCAGACAGAGAAAAAGGAAUUUCACUUCCCAAAUGCUAGAACUGCUGGUGCAGAACGUAACUAAAUAUCAGCAGCUGUGCCAGGGCACCUGGGGCCAUAUAAGGAGACUGACAAAAGACUUAGUUAUGAACAAGAUCCCAGUUCUCUGCUCAUCAUGGCUUCAUGUGCUUCAAGAAGGGCAGGAAGAAUCGGAGAUUUGCAGCUACGCUCUUUUUUAAAAAUGUGUAUGAGAGACAUUCUUAGGAAAAAGGAUAAAACAGAUAUUCCUAAAGCAACAAAGUGGGACAGACGUAAUGUCAAUGUUUCUCCUGACUACUGCUUCCAACUUUAAUGCGUAAAUAUUCUAUCACCUGGGGAUUGUGUAAGAUACAGAUUGUGAACCAGUAGGUCAGGGGUAGGGCCUCAGAAUCUGCAUUUCUGACAAGCUCCCACAGGAUAUUGGUGCAGCUAGUCUGAGGACCAUAUUUUAUUUUUUAAGUUUUUUUUUUUUUUUUUUUUGAUGUGGACCAUUUAUAAAGUCUUUAUUGAACUUGUUACUCAUGUGUGCUACAUGUGUGUUACAACUUUUGUUUUAUGUUUUGGUUUUCUGGCCAUGAGAUAUGUGAGAGCUUCCAGACCAGGAAUUGAAUGCAUACCCAUUUCAUUGGAAGGCAAAAUCUUAACCACUGGACCACCAGGGAAGUCUCUGAGGACCUCAUUUUAAAUAAUUAGGGGCUAGACCAAUUUACUGGCCUUUCAAAUACUUGCCCCUCAAUACUAUUUCAAAGAAGUUUCAUUUAAGAAUUCUUACUCAACUCAACAAGAGCUCUCCUGAAGACAAGCACUGCAUAUUCUAGCUCCCUGGUAGAUCUCUUAGCACCUAGCAUGGCGCCAUCAGCAGAACAAAAAAGAUGAAGUAACUAAGUUUCAGAAGCAAACCUUUCCAGAGGCAAUGCAGCACAGAUACAAGGAAGAAGACCUAGGUUCAAGGACAAUUUGUGAUAUCGGCAGAAAAGGCAAGGAUGCUUUGCAACCACUGCUGCUGCUGAGUCUCGUCAGUCGUGUCCGACUCUGUGCGACCCCAUAGACGG